rnacentral:rRNA from 1 species
UACGAAGGUCCCAAGCGUUAUCCGGAUUUAUUGGGUUUAAAGGGUGCGUAGGCGGGCUAUUAAGUCAGUGGUGAAAGCCCCAGCUUAACUUGGGAACUGCCAUUGAUACUGAUGGUCUUGAGUACAUUUGAGGUGGGCGGAAUGUGUCAUGUAGCGGUGAAAUGCUUAGAUAUGACACAGAACACCGAUUGCGAAGGCAGCUCACUAAACUGUAACUUGACGCUGAGGCACGAAAGCGUGGGGAGCAAACAGG